UACGUAGGGUGCGAGCGUUAAUCGGAAUUACUGGGCGUAAAGCGUGCGCAGGCGGUUUUGUAAGACAGGCGUGAAAUUCCCGAGCUCAACUUGGGAAUGGCGCUUGUGACUGCAAGGCUAGAGUAUGUCAGAGGGGGGUAGAAUUCCACGUGUAGCAGUGAAAUGCGUAGAGAUGUGGAGGAAUACCGAUGGCGAAGGCAGCCCCCUGGGACGUCACUGACGCUCAUGCACGAAAGCGUGGGGAGCAAACAGG
rnacentral:rRNA from 1 species